rnacentral:rRNA from 1 species
UACUGAGUGGCAAACGGGUGAGUAUAAUGUGGGAAUCUGCCUUUUGGUUUGGAAUAACACGGGGAAACUUGUGCUAAUACCGAAUAAGCCUUUACGGGGAAAGUUUUAACGCCGAAAGAUGAGCCUGCACUUGAUUAGCUAGUUGGUAAGGUAAAAGCUUACCAAGGCAACGAUCAAUAGCUGUUCUUAGAGGAAGACCAGCCACAUUGGGACUGAGACACGGCCCAGACUCCUACGGGAGGCAGCAGUGGGGAAUCUUGCACAAUGGGGGAAACCCUGAUGCAGCGAUGCCGCGUGAGUGAAGAAGGCCCUUGGGUUGUAAAACUCUUUCGUCGGGGAAGAAAAUGACUGUUCCCGAAUA